UCCGUUGAUCCUGCGGAAGGUUGCGGUUAUCAGGGUUCGGCUAAGCCAUGCAAGUUGGCUCUCGCAAGAGGGCAGCAUACUGCUCAGUAACACGUCAAUAAUCUACCCUUAGAUUCAGGAUACCCUUGGGAAACUGAGGUUAAACCUGGAUAGGAGAAUUGUAGUGGAAAAUUUUUUCUCCCAAACGCAAGGUCUAAGGAUGAGUUGGCGACUGAUUAGGUAGUUGGUGGGGUAAAGGCUCACCAAGCCGACGAUCAGUAGGGGCCUUGAAAGAGGUUGCCCCGAGAAGGACACUGAGAUACUGGUCCUAGCCCUACGGGGUGCAGCAGGCGCGAAAACUUUACAAUGCGCGAAAGCGUGAUAAGGGAACCCUGAGUGCUUAGGUUUUAACCUAAGCUUUUGCCAAGUCUAAAGAGCUUGGCGAAUAAGUGGUGGGUAAGACGGGUGCCAGCCGCCGCGGUAACCCCCGCGCCACAAAUCGCAAUCACAAUUAUUUGGUCUAAAGCGUCCGUAGCCGGCCUGAUCCGUCUUUUGUGAAAUCGUUGUGCUUAACAUAACGGUGUGCAAAAGAUACCAUCAGGCUUGGAACCGGUGAGGGGUCAGAGGUAUUCUGUGGGGAGCGGUAAAAUGCUAUAAUCCACGGAGGACCACCUGUGGCGAAGGCGUCUGACUAGAACGGUUUCGACGGUGAGGGACGAAAGCUAGGGGAGCAAACCGGAUUAGAUACCCGAGUAGUCCUAGCCGUAAACGCUGCGAGCAAGGUGUUGCACAUUCUUCGAGAAUGUGCGGUGUCGAAAUGAAGAUGUUAAGCUCGCCACCUGGGAAGUAUGGUCGCAAGGCUGAAACUUAAAGGAAUAGGCGGGGGAGCACCACAAGGGGUGCGGCGUGCGGUUUAAUCCAGCUCAACGCGGAGAAUCUCACCAGGAGCGACGGCAGGAUGAGGAUCAGGUUAAAGGCCUUAUCUGACAAGCCGAGAGGUAGUGCAUGGCCGUCGUCAGCUCGUGCCGUAAGGUGUCCUGUUAAGUCAGGCAACGAGCGAGACCUGUAUCUGCAAUUGCUAAUGAUUUAUUUGUAAGUCAAGCACAUUGCCGAGACUGCCUUGGAAACAAGGAGGAAGGUGCAGGCUACGGUAGGUCUGUAUGCUCCGAAUCUUCUGGGCUACACGCGCGCAACAAUGGUAAUGCCAAUGGGUCACGACUCCGAAAGGAGAAGUUAAUCCUCAAAACAUUACCCUAGUCUAGAUUGAGGGUUGUAACUCACCCUCAUGACACUGGAAUCCCUAGUAACCAGACUUCAUCACAUUCUGGUGAAUAUGUCCCUGCUCCUUGCACUCACCGCCCGUCAAACCAUCCGAGCAGGGUUUAGGUGAGACUUGGUUUUCAAUCAAGCCGAAUCUAAACUCAGUGAGGCGGGUUAAGUCGUCACAAGGUA
rnacentral:rRNA from 1 species